AGAUGCUUGGAUUGGCCAAAAGUCACUGCAAAUUCAAAUGCUUCAAAGGCAAAUAAAAUGACUAAACAAAGCGAGCAGCCACUGAUCUUCAAAGAUGAACAUCAAAGAAAACACUAGAAGAUUUUGUCCUCCACGCCCCGCCCCCCAGGGGUGGAUGAGGUUGCAUCAGUUCACACUAACAACGGCUUUGUAAACCCAAAUGCUGACAAAGGGGAGCGGAAGAACGAGACAAGAAAGUAAUUAGAAAAAGAUAGAAAAACCAUCUGGCAAACUUUUAUAGAGAAAACACGAGGAAGGCAACGAUCCCACAGAUCCCAGUUUGUAAACUCCGACGAUGCUUUGUGAGCGAGCAACCUACAAAGAGGCUAUGGCAUAAGGGAAGGCGAGCAGAAAGCGUAAUGGUGAGACCCUGAAGUGCGUUCAAAGCAGAAGCCAUUAAAGAUGAGAAGGAGACCACUUAAAAUGGGCAAAAUGUGGCCUGUGAAGAACAUUUAAUGGGAGUAAGGUCUUACGUGUCAACCCAGAAAUGCACGUGUACACAGCAAAAAGUUUCCGUAUUUAUAAAUAUUUAAAACC